UCUUCUAUAGUACAGCGGUUAGUAUAUCCGCCUUUCAUGGUACGCUAUGUUGCGCGGGAGAUCGGGGUUCGAUUCCCCGUGGGAGAA
rfam:Cryptococcus bestiolae CBS 10118 unplaced genomic scaffold supercont1.1, whole genome shotgun sequence.